UGGGGAAUAUUGGGCAAUGGAGGAAACUCUGACCCAGCAACGCCGCGUGAGGGAGGAAGGCCUUCGGGUUGUAAACCUCUGUCCUUGGGGACGAAUUCUGACGGUACCCAAGGAGGAAGCUCCGGCUAACUACGUGCCAGCAGCCGCGGUAAUACGUAGGGAGCAAGCGUUGCCCGGAAUUACUGGGCGUAAAGGGUGCGCAGGCGGCCUUUUAAGUCAGAUGUGAAAGACCGGGGCUUAACCCCGGGAUUGCAUUUGAAACUGGGAGGCUUGAGUGCAGGAGAGGUAAGUGGAAUUCCUAGUGUAGCGGUGGAAUGCGUAGAUAUUAGGAGGAACACCAGAGGCGAAGGCGGCUUACUGGACUGCAACUGACGCUCAGGCACGAAAGCGCGGGGAGCAAACAGG
rnacentral:rRNA from 1 species